rnacentral:lncRNA from 1 species
UGACUGUAUGCUUGAAGGAAUAGUUCUCUUUCUCUUUUCUACACCCACCAAACAAAGUUUAGACUUAAAAGCCAAGGAGCACAAAACAUAAAAUAUGAAUCUAUUCAUUUACAAAUAUAAAUCCUAUUCACAGUACAUCAUCAUACACUACCAUUACCAAAUCCAUUUUCUUCUGCAUAGCAUCAUGGCAUUGUCUGUCAUAAGAACAAAAGGAGGCCUAGUUAAGCCAGGCAAGGAGACUCCCUUGACCACACUAGACUUAUCAGUGAUUGAUAGGUUACCUGUUCUAAGAUGCAACGCUAGAACCUUGCAUGUCUUCAAACACGGUC